rnacentral:sRNA from 1 species
AGUCGAGCUUGGAUAUUUCUAUUUUGAGAAUCAGAUUUGCACAAAUUUUGCAAACCUUGCAAGCUGCGUCGUUCAUUAUCAAGGGAAUCUUGCAUUUAGUGAUUGAAUUUAUUCAUGUUUGUAAUCCGAUAAUUACAUUAAUCGAUAAUUCCUGGUGCUAAAUUCAGUUUUUGAGUUCUAAGCAGACAUCAAGUCAACUUUAGUUUCUAUUAGGUUAUUUUAUUGUGAACUAAAUAUUUUAUCAUAAGGUACGAAUGGAUACAGCGGUGAAUACGGAGCCAGACUUGCUGGAUAGUGUGAUCAGGUGUGGCCUCUACUUGGGCGCCAUCUUCCAACUGCUCUGCAUUGCAGCAGUGGUAGCAAUGCCUGAGAGGAAUUAUGAUCUUCACUUUGCAAAGGAUGACUUGAGUGACGAUGACUUAUCGGAAGGAAGUCCUCAGGCGACUCCGCGUCGUCCGCACGCGCACCAUCGCGCCCGCAAGCAGGAGAAGAAGAAGCGACGUUGAGUGCCACUCUAGUAUCUCGCUACUCGUUGCUGUUGCUGCUGCUGGGGUGCCACUCUAGUAUCUCACUACUGGUUGCUCCUGCUGUCGCUGCUUUGCUGUUUGGUGUCUGUUCAACUCGUCUAUCGGUGUCUUCUAAUCGGUGUUAACUCCUCCACCCUCUACUGCAACUCUCUCAAGAAUCAGCUGAUGGAAAGUGUCGCCAAAAGUAUGCCAAUUUCACAAUUUUUAAGUUAUGUUUGGUCUGAAUUCAAGUCUAAUAUUGAGUUAUAAUAUAUUGAGCAGUGAAUGUUAAGUGUGGUUUCAAAUUAAUGUUAUUUUUCUCUAAAUUUGAGGUUAGGCUGGGUUAAAAGUUGAGUUUAUGUUGCGAUUAAUUUGAGGGUAGGUUCGAUUUCAAAAUGAGACAAAGAAUUUAAGGUUAGGUUCGAUUUCAAAAUGAGACAAAGAAUUUGAGGUUGGGUUCGAUUUCAAAAUGAGACAAAGAAUUUGAGGUUAGGUUCGAUUUCAAAAUGAGAUAAAGACCCCCUUGAGCGGGCCAUUCAUUAUCCGAUUUCUUGUUCAACAAUGUUGGACAGGUAGUGAAACCAUUAGUCCGAUCUUACACACUCACACUUCGAUUGGUAGCUCAUGAGUUAGUCUAACACCCCCAAUCACAUUGCACUCGGCUCUGACUAAGCGGCUGACCUUUGGAUGUCGGAUGUGUUGGACCUCUAGUUCAUCCAACUAUAGUCCGUACAAAAUUACUUCUGACUUGGAGGAAUAUGCGGCGCAGAGAAAUGGAGGGAGAUCAGCCAAUUACAGUGAUUAAUAGUCAUAGGUGGAAGCGCAGUUGCCAAUUUGUCAGUCGUCUGACUGCUUUCAGACAGAAAACUUCGCAUGUGUAGCUUGAGCACAUGAACAGUCACUAGAAGUUGGAGAACGCCGGCCGCUUCAAAACGGCAACAUCGCGCCUCUGUAUCCCUCCCGCUGUAUGCUUUCUCUGUUGCGCAUGUCCAUCCCAAGUAAGAAGUAAUUUUGUACAGAGUAUAGUCCGGCAACAUUCGACUUAACAUGAACAACCCCAUUUACGGUCCGACGUCGAAUCCAACAUUGAAUAUUUGACCCCAAGUUGGACUAGAAAUCGGAUAGUGAAUGGCCCACUUUACACAGUCAAGUAUAUGAUAAUAUGUUUGGUUGUAGAUCCCUGAUAAACUUUUUUCAAGUAACAUAUUAAUAAUUCCCGUGCUACACUAUCAAAUUUUAGAGAAAAAAAAUGUAUCAAAGAUUUGAUCAGAUAUAUGAUCAUUUAUGUUUGUACAAUGAAGCUCUAGAGCUUGUUUAACAAAUUUAGGCUGAGUGUAGCAUUACUCAACACUGUUACAACCCAAAUGACAAAAGCCUCAUGUUUUCUAAAGGGACAUCUAAAUGUAAAGAGGCUGGCCAUAGGGCCCUAUUACAUACUCACGUACUAAAUAAAUCAGUGGUCUUUGAUAAACUUUUAUUGAAUAUAUUUGAUUCCCUAUUAGACUCUUGUUAAACAAUAAAAUAUUUUAUAAAAUAUGACCGAUUACAGAUUACACCCUUAAAGAUCUUUGAUCAAAUAUUUGACGGUUUUUAUGGUGCCCAUAAUUACAACCUCAAUUGAUUCUUUUCAGAAUAUCAGCUUAUUAUGCUUCUCAUUCAAGCGUGAAAUCGAACUCAUUCCAAUUCUAAUAUUUUUUAGUUCCAAAUUGAGGGACGAAUUGGUCAAAUUUAAAGUUUUCAAUUUAGGUUAAGAUUAGCCUAUUAUUUAUCUGGAAAGAAUGAAGGGAGGCUCUAUCCACUACCUCCUUUUACGGAGGUAGUGCUCUAUCUUGUUGGCUGAGUACUUGUCCCCUAUAAUAAAUAUUGAUGUAUACCGUACUGUACAAGCUUUUUAUCCAUGAUUUUUUCUUAUGAACCAUAUUCUAUAACCUGAUUCACUUGAAAAAAUUCAGUAUUAGUCAAAUUGGGAGUGCGAAUAAGUCUGUUGAGUUAACACUUGACUUACUAUGGCCAAAUAAUUUUCAUAUUAUACAUUUAAAUAUUUAUAAUGAAUUGUUUAUUAAGAAACAUUCAGAAAGGAUUUCUCUUUAACGAUUCUCAACUAUGUUCUUAGAAAAUUAAAAUUUGGUUUGUAUUAAUUUGAACAUCUCGGUAUUUACUGAAUAUAUUAAGUUAAAUUAAUAAUCAAAUGGAAAUCUGAUAUUAUCAAAUCAUAAAGUGAAUUACUUUUCUGUAAUUUUCUGAUUAUUUUAAUUUUUACUCUUUACUUUAUUGAAGCUCUCAUAUGCUGCAUUCUGGCUCCUUUCAUUUUGAAGAUGUUUACCUUUAUCUUAUCUUAUAAUCUUCUUCUACUUUUUUUGGAUUCUCUUAUCACUUCAUUAUUUAUUUCCUCCUUUGGGUAAAGUGGCAGAGUGGACAUUUCUGUCCAAAUUUCGCCUCUUCUUCAAAUAAAAAGUCAUUCUGUUAUCUUCUCCCGCUUCUCCUAUAUCUUUCCAUCUCUUAUAACUGUACAAUGCUGUAUGCUGAAACUAUCUUUCAUGUAUUUAAAAACUCUCAAUAAUUAUUUUCCUCAAUUUUCCACUGUUUCAGUUGCAUUAUUGACUUCUAUUGUGAGUAUUUUUACUGUUUUUGCGAAAUGAAUUCUUAGAGGUAAUGGUUGUAUGGAAUAAGAGAUUCCCAUAAUCUACAUACCUCGUUGAUAUAUGUGUCACAGUUAUUGUAUCUAAUCCAUUAGCCUAUUUUCAUUGAGCAUAGUAGUAACUUCCUUUGGACCCAUAUUCCAAUGUAAUUGGUACAUAUUCCAUGUAGUAAUUGAUCACUUUAUGUCGUAUACAUUUAUGUCUUAUUGAUGUUAUUUAGUAAUCUACUAAUACAAUAUUGAUGUUUCAUAAUUAUUGUUUUAAUUAUCUGGUGUUUACUGUUAGUAAAAUUUGAAACUAUUGAUGUUCAAUACUGUAAGUAAUAAGUGUGUAGUAUUGGGAUAAUCCAAUUAUUACUUGAAAAUAAUCACAUUAACAUGUGUAUUAAGAGUAUACUGUGUUCAACUGUCCAUACUAUUAAUGAAUGGUGAAUAGGUUAAAUUUCCGAAUACAUCAGAACUAUACCUACUUUCAUUCUUCUAAUUCAGUGCUCUAGAGUAUUAACUCUUUAUUUCUCAUUUACCUUCCGGAAGUCGCGCCCUACUCUAUCACACAAGCAGUCGCGUGUUGUAAUUUUUACAACAUCCUAUUUAUUAUGUGUUACUAUUAUAUACUCUGUUUACUAUCAAAUAUCAAUUUAAUUGUAUAAUUAAUAUUUCCAUCUCAUUGGAUUAUUUUACGCCUAUGAACAUUUACAUGAUUACCUUUUCGUAGCCCAAUAAGGUACACCAAGCAAAGCCAACAAUUGUGUUUUAUUGAUUCGUUGGCAGUCUCUCUCCCUACCAUAUGCACUACUUAUGCACUGUCGCGAACCAUUGCUCUGUUGAUACUGCAACUCAAUGGAGUGAUGGGGAAAAAGCUUUGGAAUGCAUAGGUGACUCAUUCACUGACACCACCCCAUUCAAUAGUUCUGUGCAGCAAAAAAACUGACAAUGUUGUGCUUCUUACAACAGCGCGACUGCCGGAAGGUUAACUUGAUGCUCCAAGCAAAUUAUUCUGAUAAAUUUAAAUAAUGUUUGAAUUUCCUUGGAGUUUAUCCUACCAGUUUUUGACAUUAUAUUGUACAAACUAGCAUUGGUUUACAUGUUCAAGAAUUCUCUCCAGAUAUUUCUGACUUGAUAAUAGGAUGUUUGAGGGUGUGAUAUUAAUAGGAUAUAAUUUUCAUUCCAUUUUCAAUAUUACAUGCUAUUAAUUCGUCACAAACAAUUGCUCAUAAAGUACAAUUUUUUUUAUUUAUAAUGUUUUAUUCUUAUAAAUUAUUUUCCAUCAAACUUUUUUGGCGUUUCAGGAGUAUAUUUGCUUAUUGAAAACCGCGUAUUGAACUCACGUUUUAAUAUUUUUCUGUACUUUUUAAUAUUCUAAUUUGUAAUGCUAAUGCCACUAACCAAUUAUUUUCCUGCAUUAUAUUAGUUCCAAUUAGAGAAUGAGUUGAAUAUUUUCAGUUAUCUAUAUUCUUAUCUCUGUGAAUACGCAGUAAACCCUUGUUUACAUGCAAUAUAUUAGCUCCAAUUCAGUGAUGAGAUUUUCUCAUUAGCCCACCUGAAAAUCAAUUUGUUCUGCUUCUCACAAAACGAUAACUUUCUAGUUUUUGCUAUAUUUACCUGAGUUUUCUCUCAAGUGGGAAAAGUAAAUGAUUAGAUCGAAAUAGCUUUUGUCAGAAACUAAUAAACUUCGUUGAAAAAAAUAGCUUGGGUGGUUCAGUACCUAGUAUUAUCAAAAACAUUUUUUUUACAGUAUUAUAUUUAUCUCAAUUUCAUUCCAAUGUGAUAUGCCUCAUUAUAUAAUAUUUAAUGUAUUUUAUGUAUUAGCUUGAUUAUCUUUAUAUUAGCAACUAAAUAAAAAAAUAUCAUAUUUGAUUAUCACAUAUUAUCAAUUUAUUUUAGUACAUGAAUGGGUGAAAAUGUUGGACGCCAAAUAAUGUGAAUUGAAGUAGGGAGUUUUGAGUUAUUAUAUUAUCAGAACAAAGACAUAAUUUUAUUUGCUGCUAUGAUUGAUCUCAUUAUUGUUAUUUUUAGUCUAUUAUAUUUUGCUAUCAUUUAUUGGAUUUAGUAGAUUUUUCUCCUGAGGAAAAUACUUCUUAGGUAAAUUAGGUUAAGAAAAUAUUUUUUUGCUUCAAUUGCUGGAAAUAUGUUUUUUUUCUAUUAAUCGAAAAUAUGAAUGAAGAUCAAAUUAUUUUAUACAAUUUUAGUUAUUUAAUUCAAAGCCAUUCAACGAACAACGAUAUUAUAUUAUAAAUAUUUUAUUUUAUUAAGAAGAUGGCUUUUGAAGCUGGAAAACUGUUUAUGAUAUUGAUAGAACAAAGUAGGUAUAAGGAAUUCAAAUUCAAAUCUGAAUCUGAUUCAAAAUUGAAUUGAAUUAUAAUUCAAAUAACGAGAGGCUGAGAAUUAUCAGGCACAACUGUUUAUUCUUUAUUGUUUGAAUUCCAUAGUUUUUUCUAAACUCAUGCUUUUAACAAGUGUUUACCAUUUUACAUUCUAUUUGAUUCAGUAUUGAUGUUUUGAUACAUAUAUAUUAUUAACUUAUACAUUUUAAGUCCUCAAAUAUAUCUUGAUGGAUACUGGCUUAACCACUACUUAUUCUGUGGGGCUGUGUACUUUGAACUCUUGGUGUAUUUAUAUUAUUGUGGAAACAUACCGUACACUCAUUAAUGUGGAAACCCCAAUCUUAUCGAUGUCAUUAUAUGAGUAUUAUCUGUGUAAUCAAAUUUAUGUAUCUUUGUGGAGAAAUUAUUAAAUUAUCUGUGAUAA